AGAGUGAACGCUGGCGGUAGGCCUAACACAUGCAAGUCGAACGGCAGCACAGUGGUAGCAAUACCAUGGGUGGCGAGUGGCGGACGGGUGAGGAAUACAUCGGAAUCUACCUUUUCGUGGGGGAUAACGUAGGGAAACUUACGCUAAUACCGCAUACGCCCUUCGGGGGAAAGCCGGGGAUCGCAAGACCUGGCGCGGAUAGAUGAGCCGAUGUCGGAUUAGCUAGUUGGUGAGGUAAUGGCUCACCAAGGCGACGAUCCGUAGCUGGUCUGAGAGGAUGAUCAGUCACACUGGAACUGAGACACGGUCCAGACUCCUACGGGAGGCAGCAGUGGGAAUAUUGGACAAUGGGCGAAAGCCUGAUCCAGCCAUGCCGCGUGUGUGAAGAAGGUCGUUCGGAUUGUAAAGCACUUUAAGGUUAGGUAGGAAGGCGAGGUUACUAAGUAC
rnacentral:rRNA from 1 species